UGUGGAAUAUUGGACAAUGGGCGAAAGCCUGAUCCAGCCAUGCCGCGUGUGUGAAUAAGGUCUUCGGAUCUUAAUGCACUUUAAGUUGGGAGGAAGGGCAGUAAGCGAAUACCUUUCUGUUUUGACGUUACCGACAGAAUAAGCACCGGCUAACCCUGUGCCAGCAGCCGCGGUAAUACAGAGGGCGCAAGCGUUAAUCGGAAUUACUGGGCGUAAAGCGCGCGUAGGUGGUUCGUUAAGUUGAAUGUGAAAGCCCCGGGCUCAGCCUGGGAACGGAAUCCAAACCUAGCGGGCUAGAGUAGGGCAUAGCGUAGUGGAAUUUCCUGUGUAGCGGUGAAAUGCGAAGAUAUAGGAAGGAACACCAGUUGCGUAGGCGACCACCUGGGCUCAUACUGACACUAAAGUGCGAAAGCGUGGGGAGCAAACAGA
rnacentral:rRNA from 1 species